GGCAAAACUCGAGGCGGGGAAAUUGAUUAUUGGUACUAUAACGUUGUUGAUUGCGUCUACAUCGAGUAUACUGAUUCCACGGUUUGGCAGGACGAUAAUCGAUAUCGUUUCGGGUGAUCUCCAAACACCUGAAUAGAAGAGUGAAGCUGUAAGCAAAGUCAAUAGAACCAUUCUUGGAAUCUUCUUGAUUGUCAUUAUCGGUUCCAUCUGCACAGCACUUCGAGCAUGGUUAUUUUCUUCUGCAAGUGAAAGAAUCGUUGCUACAUUGCAAAAGAACCUAUUCACACACCUCUU